UUUCCACCGAUUGAUGUUAGCGCGAGAACUGCAAGAAGCGUUUUUUGUUACAACACUUCUUGCUCUGAGUGCUCUGACAAUGUGACAAUGAUUUUCUGUUUUCUGAUUGUAUUGCUUGAGAGGAAAAGAGGACACUAACUGCACUCUCAAGAGCAUGGAAUUUUGUGAAAGCAUUGAAAAGACUGUGAGGACAAACCUGACAAACCCAGGGUGCAAGCCUGAUGACGUAAUUACAUUUAGUUGAGUUUCCGAUUAAUCAUGAUUUUUUUAAACAUGGCAUCAGCCGAAUCUAACUAUUGUUCAUUUGUGUCAAGAUCGUUGAUUUGUGUUUUGGUUUUUUUUUGGAAUUGGAACUUUUGAAGUUUUGACGCGCUUUGACGGUUGAACUUGAACAAAAGCGUUUAUUCAAUAUUAUUCAUACUUCUUUCUUUCUUUCUGCCAUGUGACGUGCCUAAUUAUUGCGAAUGUGAAGAAGAUAAUUUUCUCUCGAGACUGUCGCCUUAGUUGGAAAUCACCUCAAUCUUUCCAUUUAUUACCAACUGUAGCUAGCCCCUCAAGUACCAAGCCCGGUCUCUGUAUCCAUACCAUAGAACAUUGAGCACAGCACCACGCCGUUCAUCUGAAGACUACACCCGAAAUAAAGAAGGGAUGGAAGUUUCAAGCAAAGAAAACAUAGUCGGUUUGACCAGCAACCGUUCCCUGAUCAAAGCUGGUGUCACUCAGUCUAUCAAGAAACCUGCAUCUACAAAAAAAGCCCUAGCAGAUGUUGGAAACAUACUCCAUUCUGCCAAGAAAAGUUCGCAGGAAGUUGUCAAACCGGGCUUCUCUGGUCAAAAAUUAGAAAGCACAAAAAACUUCAAAAUUUAUGUAGAAGAACAGGAUGUCAUAUUCUCUCCUGCUCCUAAGAAAGCUAAUCCCAAAAGAAUUCCACUGUCUCCCAUAUCGGGUAUCAAAGUAGCUGCCAAUCUAAAUCCUAAUUAUCAGUAUGAUGAUGACGAUGAAGAUCCUCAUCAGGAUUGCCCAACUACGCCUUAUAAUGAUGAUUUCGAUGAUUUAUUACCUCCAUCUUUAAGAUUAAAUUCAGAUGACAUAGACUCUUUAGCAAUGCUGAAACCCCCUGAAGAAUCUUGGGCACCCAAGUGGAAGAGUGAUCUCUCUACAAUCUCUGUUGAGUCAGAUUUAGAUGAUUUUAAUGUUCCGUUUCCUAGUCCUCCUAAAUUUGCUGAUUUUGAUCUUCCAUUCAAUGAAUUUGUGGUUCCAGAAGUUAACUUUGAUGAUUCCUUCUAAAGCACCAAUAUUCUUCCUCUGGCCUUGCCUUGCCUUUCAAUCAAU
rnacentral:lncRNA from 1 species